rnacentral:rRNA from 1 species
CACGGGGGGAGCAAGCGUUGUUCGGAAUCACUGGGCGUAAAGGGCGUGUAGGCGGUCAAGUAAGUGGAAUGUGAAAGCCCCCCGGCUUACCCGGGGAUCUGCAUCCCAAACUGCUUGGCUUGAGUACGGGAGAGGAUAGGAAGAUUCCUGGUGUAGCGGUGAAAUGCGUAGAUAUCAGGAGGAACACCGGUGGCGAAGGCGCCUAUCUGGCCCGAUACUGACGCUGAGGCGCGAAAGCUAGGGGAGCAAACGGG